GAUGAACGCUGGCGGCGUGCCUAAUACAUGCAAGUCGAGCGAACAGACGAGGAGCUUGCUCCUCUGACGUUAGCGGCGGACGGGUGAGUAACACGUGGAUAACCUACCUAUAAGACUGGGAUAACUUCGGGAAACCGGAGCUAAUACCGGAUAAUAUAUUGAACCGCAUGGUUCAAUAGUGAAAGACGGUUUUGCUGUCACUUAUAGAUGGAUCCGCGCCGCAUUAGCCAGUUGGUAAGGUAACGGCUUACCAAGGCGACGAUGCGUAGCCGACCUGAGAGGGUGAUCGGCCACACUGGAACUGAGACACGGUCCAGACUCCUACGGGAGGCAGCAGUAGGGAAUCUUCCGCAAUGGGCGAAAGCCUGACGGAGCAACGCCGCGUGAGUGAUGAAGGUCUUCGGAUCGUAAAACUCUGUUAUUAGGGAAGAACAAAAGUGUAAGUAACUAUGCACGUCUUGACGGUACCUAAUCAGAAAGCCACGGCUAACUACGUG
rnacentral:rRNA from 1 species